UACGGAAGGCAGCAGUGGGGAAUAUUGCACAAUGGGCGAAAGCCUGAUGCAGCUAUGCCGCGUGUAUGAAGAAGGCCUUAGGGUUGUAAAGUACUUUCAUCGGGGAGGAAAAAACAAAACUAAUAAUUUUAUUUCUUGACGUUACCCGAAAAAGAAGCACCGGCUAACUCCGUGCCAGCAGCCGCGGUAAUACGGAGGGUGCUAGCGUUAAUCAGAAUUACUGGGCGUAAAGAGCACGUAGGUGGUUUUUUUAAGUCAGAUGUGAAAUCCCUGGGCUUAACCUAGGAACUGCAUUUUGAAACUGAAAUACUAGAGUAUCGUAGAGGGAGGUAGAAUUCUAGGUGUAGCGGUGAAAUGCGUAGAUAUCUGGAGGAAUACCUGUGGCGAAAGCGGCCUCCUAAACGAAUACUGACACUGAGGUGCGAAAGCGUGGGGAGCAAACAGGGAUUAGAC
rnacentral:rRNA from 1 species